UACAGAGGUCCCGAGCGUUGUUCGGAUUCACUGGGCGUAAAGGGUGCGCAGGUGGGUUGGCAAGUUUGAUGUGAAAGCCCCGGGCUUAACCCGGGAAAGGCAUUGAAUACUGCUGAUCUGGAGGAUCGGAGGGGGGACUGGAAUUCUUGGUGUAGCAGUGAAAUGCGUAGAUAUCAAGAGGAACACCAGUGGCGAAGGCGAGUCUCUGGGCUGUAUCUGACGCUGAUGCGCGAAAGCUAGGGGAGCAAACGGG
rnacentral:rRNA from 1 species